GGCAGUGGGUAGUGCCAUGUUGAUGUGAGAUUUUGAGAGAGGACGGCGAGGGAACAAAGGGAGCCUGAUUAUAUGCGCACGGAAUUAUUUUACACAAGAUGAUUUUCAGAGCACCUCAAAAUUGGGCUAUGCAUGUAACCAUCUCAGUGUGCUGUUUUGCGCAUUCUAGGUGUACUGCUACAAUAUUCAAGGUGAGGCAUGCACAACCAUCAAAGAAUUCGCAUGUGGAGACAUUGGCCAAGAAGAAUAAAACCUAACUUAUCAUCUUCAUAUUGAGUCGGUGUCAGACAACCAUUCCAGUUGGCAUGAUUAUCUUUUGUUUGUUU